CAAGAGCCCACGUUCGCUAAGAACACCACGUCCUGUGGCAACGCCUUUGUAACCAAUGUCCUGUUGG
rnacentral:sRNA from 1 species